UACGGAGGGGCUAGCGUUGUUCGGAAUUACUGGGCGUAAAGCGCGCGUAGGCGGACCUGCAAGUCGGGGGUGAAAGCCCGAGGCUCAACCUCGGAACUGCCUUCGAUACUGCGGGUCUCGAGUCCGGGAGAGGUGAGUGGAAUUCCGUAGUGUAGAGGUGAAAUUCGUAGAUAUUAGGAAGAACACCAGUGGCGAAGGCGGCUCACUGGCCCGGUACUGACGCUGAGGAGCGAAAGCGUGG
rnacentral:rRNA from 1 species